rnacentral:rRNA from 1 species
UACAGAGGUCCCAAGCGUUGUUCGGGUUCACUGGGCGUAAAGGGUGCGUAGGUGGCAGGGUAAGUUUGAUGUGAAAUCUCCGAGCUUAACUCGGAAACUGCAUUGAAUACUAUCCUGCUCGAGGGUUGGAAGGGGGACUGGAAUUCUCGGUGUAGCAGUGAAAACGCGUAGAUAUCGAGAGGAACACCAGUGGCGAAGGCGGGAUCCUGGGCCAGUACUGACGCUGAGGAGCGAAAGCGUGGGGAGCAAACAGG